GGAUGUGAUGGGGAGCGAAAUUUAGUAGCGAAGUAGCUGAUUUCACACUGUCAAGAAAAGUCUCUAUCGAGGUUAAAGGUACCCGUACCGCAAACCGACACAGGUGGGUGAGGAGAGUAUCCUAAGGCCAGCGAGAGAACUGUUGUUAAGGAACUCGGCAAAAUGACCCCGUAACUUAGGGAUAAGGGGUGCCACCAUCAGGUGGCCGCAGAGAAUAGGCCCAAGCGACUGUUUACCAAAAACAUAGGUUUCUGCUAAGUCGCAAGACGAUGUAUAGGAGCUGACGCCUGCCCGGUGCUGGAAGGUUAAGGGGAUCUGUUAGAGCAAUCGAAGCAGUGAACUUAAGCCCCAGUAAACGGCGGCCGUAACUAUAACGGUCCUAAGGUAGCGAAAUUCCUUGUCGGGUAAGUUCCGACCCGCACGAAAGGCGUAACGAUUUGGGCACUGUCUCAACAACAGACUCGGUGAAAUUGUAAUUCCGGUGAAGAUGCCGGAUACCUGCGACAGGACGGAAAGACCCCAUGGAGCUUUACUGUAGCUUGACAUUGGGUCUUGGUACUACAUGUACAGGAUAGGUGGGAGGCUUUGAAACCAGGACGCCAGUUUUGGCGGAGCCAUCCUUGGGAUACCACCCUUGUA
rnacentral:rRNA from 1 species